rnacentral:lncRNA from 1 species
UGUUUCACCUUCUGCGCAGAAGAACAUGAACGUUCUGCUUGUCGGUGCAGUGCUUGCUGUUUUUCUCGCUGUUGCUUCCUCUGGACCGCGGUGCAGUAAGGGCAAAAUUGUUUGUGCAUAGCAGUGAAACGGAUAUGUUGCUUCCUCUGGACCGCGCUGCAAGCCUCGGAAUUGCGCCUACCCAAGAGAUUGUUGGAAGCCUACUACGCGUGCAUCAUGCUCGUCGUCCCCAUGGAGGCUUUUCUUCUACAAUUAUACUGUCGGGAGGUGCGAGGCAUUUGGCUGGAGAGGACCGUGCGAAGAGUGCAACUGCUACAUCAGCCUGAGAGAAUGCGCACCAAAGUGCACGCCACCGCAACAUAAGCUUCGCCGGCGGCCCCGCCAAUUCCACU